rnacentral:rRNA from 1 species
CAGGUGGUGCAUGGUUGUCGUCAGCUCGUGUCGUGAGAUGUUGGUUAAGUCCCGCAACGAGCGCAACCCUAUUGUUAGUUGCCAUCAUUCAGUUGGGCACUCUAGCGAGACUGCCGGUAAUAAACCGGAGGAAGGUGGGGAUGACGUCAAAUCAUCAUGCCCCUUAUGACCUGGGCUACACACGUGCUACAAUGGUUGGUACAACGAGUUGCGAGUCGGUGACGGCGAGCUAAUCUCUUAAAGCCAAUCUCAGUUCGGAUUGUAGGCUGCAACUCGCCUACAUGAAGUCGGAAUCGCUAGUAAUCGCGGAUCAGCACGCCGCGGUGAAUACGUUCCCGGGCCUU